rnacentral:pre_miRNA from 1 species
CAUGUACUCCCUCCGUUCCGAAUUACUUGUCUUAGAUUUGUCUAGAUACGGAGGUAUCUAGCAUUAAAAUAAAUCUAGAUACAUCCGUAUCUAGACAAAUCCAAGACAAGUAAUUCAGAACGGAGGGAGUACUAC